CCCAGCUGCUUGGGAGGCUGAGGCAUGAGAAUCACUUGAACUUGGGAGGCAGAGGACGCAAUGAGCAGAGAUAACGCCACUGCACUCCAGCCUGGGCGACAAAAUGAGACUCUGUCUCAAAAAACAAACAAACAAAUAAACAAAAAACCAACCUAUGUUCACCUUGGAGUGGAGACUUAGCAUUUAAAUGUUAUUACAAUUAGGCCCUAAAUAUCAAAAGGUAUUUUCAAGACAGGAAGGCAACCUGUGAGCAACCUCUGUAAACCAGCCAGGACCAGUCCCUGUUCUUCUUACCAGGAGAAAGUGGCUGAAAUCAGUCUCUUCUCCAAUCAAAGCUGUAGUUGUGGCUGGUGGAACAGAGGCUGGAGGUCAGUUAUUCAGCAUCUGCAGGAGCUUCCAAAUGUUUCAACACUGCUUAUCCUGAGGCCAGUGCUUGUUUAUCUGCUAGAGAAAAAGAAAAGCCUCGUGGCAGUUAGAGCAUAAGUUAUUCUUUAAGUGUAGAGGUGCGUGACUUACCACUUGCCUGGCAUGACCUUAGUUCUAUUUAUAAUUUGGUAUCUUACUUCCAUAAAGGGUCCGUUCUGUCAGUCUUAUGAUCUCUAUUUUAACAUGAAUGCUGGUCAGUGUCUGAACUGUAAAAGGUAAAGACGUAUAAUGAGGCAUGUCUGACCUCCCAUCCUAUCAUGGCCAGGAACUCAAGUUUUAAGGUUUUUCUGGGGUCCCCUUGGCCAAGAGGGAGUCUGUUCAGUCACUGGGGGGGCUUAGGAUUUUUUUUUUUUUUUUGGGAGACAGAGUCUUGCUAUGUCACCCAGGCUGGAGUGCAGUGGUGUGAUCUCAGCUCACUGCACCCUCUGCCUCCCGAGUUCAAGCCAUCCUCCCACGUCAGCCUCCAGAGUAACUGGGACUACAGGCGCACUCCACCACGCCCAGCUAAUUUUUGUAUUUUUAGUAGAGACGGGGUUUGGCCAUGUUGGCCAGGCUGGUCUUGAACUCCUGGCCUCAAGUGAUCUGCCCGCCUCGAACUCCCAAAGUGCUGGGAUUACAGGCAUGAGCCACCACGCCCGGCCAGAAUUUUAAGUUUACAACAGUUACAUUACCACAAAGCCUGGGGCUGUGGGCUGGAGUCGGGUAGGAAGCCUCAGAUUGGGAGAACAGAGGAAGGAAGGCGGCGCAGGCAGCCCAGGAAGGCCCUCGGAGGAGGUGGUAUUUAAGGAGAGAACUCCAGCAGGAGAGUCGGAGGCUCUAGGGACAUUCUAGGCAGAGUAGGAUGUAGAAUGAUAUCCGGAGAAUGAUGGGAAGCCCCUGGAGGGCAGAGGUUGUGCCGUAAUCUGUGUCACAUUUCCGAAGGACCCAUCUGGAUGCUGAGUGAGGAAAAGACUUGGGGAAGGGUCACCCAUGAACCUAUUCUCCGCGGCUGUCUCUGGGAAGGGGCUCUGGGCGUUGGCGCGGGAGGGAAACUCACCUUUCCCCGUAUAUCCUUUUCUGCUGUUGAAGAAAUUUUCUAAGUAUGUGAGUAUGUGUGUGAAUGUUUAAUGUUACUCAAAAAAUAAAUUAAAAGCAAGAAGAAAGUGAUUAAGGCGAUAGUUCCUGUAAGAGGCAAGCGGCAUGGCCCACUCUGUCCAGCCACAGCCCUUUCUUCUGUUGAGCUGUUGAGUGUAUGGGACCCAAAUAGACAUAAAAAAGAAAAAGGGACCAGGUGCUGUGGCUCACACCUAUAAUCCUGGCACUUUG
rnacentral:lncRNA from 10 species